CUUCAGCCUUGCCUAUAUACCUGUAAAGACAAAGCUUUACUCUUUUUUUUAGGGGGGAUUUUAUCAGCAACAUAUUUUCCUACAUGGCAAACAUCUCGCUGCUGAGAGGUGAGACCUCAUCCUGAUUCAACUCUGACUGACUCAAGUCCACGAAGACGUGCAGAGAGCAGCAGGGAGGACACGCGCCGGCACACAGGAUCAUCAUCAUCACCAUCAUCAUCAUCAUCAUCACGUUAACAUACCAUGAUGAAGUGGACAACAAUUUCACACUUAGAAAAAAAAAAAACUGCAGCUUCAGUGUGAGAUCAGAGCAGCAGGUCUGAACUUCCACGUCCUGCUCGGAGGGGCUUCAAGAGGUCGGCGGUCCCGGUGCCCUCACUGCCCGUUACUAUGCUGGGUGGCUCUGUGAGGGAAGCCCGGCCUCUUGAGCAGCGGGACGCACGUGGAUAUGACGAGCAGGCUCUGCAGGGCGUCGGGGUCGCGGAACACGUUGGUGCACCGUGGGCCUCCUUUGGGGAUGCAGUUUAAGAACGGGAUGUAGGGACGGGACCGGGUGUCGGUGGAGAAGCUGCUCCUGCUGUCCUGACUGACGGCCGGAGAGCUGCUGACUGAAAACAGAGAGAAGGAGCAACAGGAAGUGUGUGAGAAAUUAAAAACAGGAAAACAGAGGGGUCAGUAUCAGUAAGAAAAACUCUAUAAAUGCCAUUGCCACUUCCACCAGAGCCCUUUGUGUUUUCUGAUGUUUUUAAUUAUGUGUGUGAGGAAAUGAUUGCAAAUGAAUAUAAACAGUGAAAUAAUGUCAGCAGAUUUUUCUUUAUCAGCACAGCCUGAUUAUUUAUAAACAUGUAAAAAAAAAAAAAUGGACCCAGCAAAAGAAUGUGUUAAUAUUUUCUAAGCCAAAUGGUCAUUUUUAUGUGGCAUUUAAAUACUUUUCCCAUGUAUUUUAAUUUGAUGUUUUUUUUCUGUGAUUAAAAAUGCAUUUCUACAUUUUCUCCAAGUUAUGUUUUAGAAAAUCGAAAACAGCAGGCAGGGAAUAAACAGUAAAUUCAGUUUAAUUCAUGCAGCAGCAGUCAUACUAAAGGCUCUUUAUAUUCAGUAAACUGAAAAUGUAGCAGCUGGAUAUUGAUGCUGCAGCUGACAGAAAAGCCUGCAGAAGCUGGCUGUCAACCAGAGACACACGUUACCUCUCUGUGGCCGACCUCAACUCUCAGCAUGUUUACCUGUCCAGGACGCCUGCUGGGGGCUGACGAUCCGGCGUGGUUCUCCCACUCUGCUGUGGCUCGUGGGUUUGUACCGCAGGCGGACGGGCUCGCCGUUCAGGCGGCUGCGGUCUACCACGGGCCUGAGAAAAUGCUGCUGAGUCACGAGGGAGUCGAGCUGCUGCAAACAGCCAUAAAAUGAUGUCGUUUCAGUUCUGUGCCAUAAUUACCACUGAAGCUUAUGAACUGUUAAUCCACUUCAUCCUCCUCUGAUAAUUAUUUUGGGCUGUUUAUUCAAACAGCUGCUGAAUCUCUGCUGAAUUUCUUCACUUUCACCGGUGAAAUUAUAACAUGUACCAACAGGCUGAGCCGGGAAAACGUUUCUCUGACACACAAUCCAGAGAAAGCCUGGGUAACACUGCCUGCUACAAGCACACACACCAACUUGUUGAUCAAAAGAAAAUUAAAUGCCAAGUAUUUUAAUCAAAUAAUAUUUUCACUCUUCAGGCUGCUCAUAAAUGAUAAUUUGCUGUUUUUUAAUCACAUAUUAUAAUAAACUAAAAGUCUUCUUUUAACAUGUUUAUAGACUGAUCUCAGCAUGUUUACUUUAAUAAAUUUAAAUACAUAAGUCACAAAAAAUGUCUUUUUUCUUUAAUUUUCCAUCAAGAUUUUGAAAGAAGAAGUUUAAUCAAUAAUUAAAGCUGAAAUAACAGACUUGAUUUUAUAUUAUUUUUAAAGAGGCAGGGCAGCUGACAUGAUUAAUUUCUUUGGUUAAUGAGCACUGAUUAAAAACAGAAAAGCUGUGUCUGUAUACCUGCUCAGGUGCCUCCUGCUGUUUUGUCCUUUGAGAAAAAUGCAUCAGUGAAUCCAGCUGAAAUUUAAAAAAAAAAAAAAUUAUGGUGACUGGAAGUUAAUAUUUAUAAUAAAUAAGAAAUAUGGUUUGUGUUGCAUUAACUAGCGGUCAGGUCUUACCUUCUUGUGCUGCCUCUGAUGGUUUCUCAACUGGUAGGAGAAGCAGCCAUGCACGCCCCCUCCCUCUCCGUGGCCCUGCAGCAGCUGCUGGAUCUGGUUCACCACCCCCAGGUCCUGCACUAGUUUCUUCCUCUGGAACAGCACGCUGAGCUGUUCACGUUUAUCUAUUAAUGCCACUUUUUUCUCCUCCUCUUUCUCCUCCACCACCUCCUCCUCCUCCUCCUCCUCAUCCGGAUGCUCCUCCGCCUCUUCUUCGACCUCUGCAGACUCUGGAGCUGCUGAUGGGCUGGACACAGGAGGCUACGGCAAAAAAAGAACAUUUAAUUCAAUUUGUUUUUAUUGCUUCGAUGUAUAUGUUGCGCUGGAAAAAUAUAUGAGCAGUUACUGUGACAGAAUAUCAUUGAUUUCCUGUAUUG